GAUGCAUUACAUCGUUCUUGGAACAAAAUUAUGUACAUAAAACUUACAGGAAUCAUGUUUUGUGUGUGGUAAAACUCCAUAAGGACUAGUCCAAGAUACUGAGAUCAAGGAUUUCUAAGUGCAGCCAAUCUCUUCUCCAGUUCAUCGAUCCCCGAACUGCUUGAUUCCUCAGUCCUUUUUCCAGCAAUUUUUCCCUUGGGAGCCGCUGACAACUGUGAGGCAACAUCAAUUCCAAUUUCAUCAAGGACCUGAUUUGUCAAAUCUUCAGUUUCCUCUUCUGCUUCGUCAUCAUCUAUAGCAUCAUCUAUGGCAUCUGACAUCAUUUCAGUCGUCAUAUCCAAUUGAGCUGAUUGCUUCUGGAAAUCUUGCAUCACCUUCGCUUGCUUUGCAGGGUCCAUUUGCUUAUUCAUAGCAGUCAUAGCCUUAGUGGCUCCUUUCAUGCCUGAAGCAACCGAAGAUUGGGCAGAUAUUGCCUGUGUGUGAGUCGCUAUACCUCUCAUUUGAGCCCGACUACCUUGCAAGUUCGCUAUUUGCUGUCUAAGCCUGAUUAACUGACGUGCUAGAACUUUUGUUGCUGUCUCAUUUCCAGUUUUAGCAGUCCUUUUUAUUUCAGCAACAAGUUUUUUUUCCUCUGAUUGUAAAGCGGAAAUUUCCUUCUCAAUACCUCUGGUGGCAUGAGUCAGUUCUCUUCUACUUUCCCUAAGCGCUUCUUUGGCAUUGGGUUUCUUGGAAAAGAUGUUCAUAUUGAUUAAAUCAAACAACAAAUAUUAAAAUUAUGGAAAAUUGGGAUUCUG
rnacentral:misc_RNA from 1 species